CCCAUCAAGGACGACGAGUUGAUCUCCUACAUCAUCCGUGGGCUGGACCAAGACUACCAGCCCCUUGUCUCUACACUAGAUGCCCGUGUCACUCCGGUAACUCUCGAUGAACUUUUUGCCAUGCUCAGUAACUUUGAUC
rnacentral:snoRNA from 1 species